AGGACGAACGCUGGCGGCGUGCUUAACACAUGCAAGUCGAGCGGAAAGGCCCUUCGGGGUACUCGAGCGGCGAACGGGUGAGUAACACGUGAGUAAUCUGCCCUAGCUCUGGGAUAGCUCCGGGAAACCGGGAUUAAUACCGGAUACGACCACCUUAGACAUCUUUGUGGUGGAAAGAAUUUCGGCUAGGGAUGAGCUCGCGGCCUAUCAGCUUGGUUGGUGGGUAACGCCUACCAAGGCGACGACGGGUA
rnacentral:rRNA from 1 species